GACGAACGCUGGCGGCGUGCCUAAUACAUGCAAGUAGGACGCAGUUGCGAACGGGUGAGUAACGCGUAGGUAACUACCUGUUAGAGGGGGAUAACUAUUGGAAACGAUAGCUAAUACCGCAUACUAGUAGCUUCCCCUUCGUUGUAUUAGCUAGUAGGUAGGGUAAUGGCCUAACUAGGCAACGAUACAUAGCCGACCUGUGAGGGGGAGCGGCCACACUGUGACUGAGACACAGCACAGACUCCGACGGGAGGCAGCAGUAGGGAAUCUGCGGCAAUGGGGGGAACCCUGACCGGGCAACGCCGCGUGAGUGAAGAAGGUGUGCGGAUCGUAAAGCUCUGUUGUUAAGGAAGCGGUAAGUAAAAAGAAAGGGACGGCUAACUACGUGCCAGCAGCCGCGGUAAGAC
rnacentral:rRNA from 1 species